AAAGAUACAUUUCACAUUUCACGGGGAAGAGACUUCCGAAAGGUGAGUAGCCUGGCCCUUGGACGACAUCAACACCACAGGGGAAUCUAUUUUCCCUCAAUCAGAAGAAAUCUCUAUUGCAAUCAAAAACAAUAAAACCCCUAUUCUCUGAUCCCAUUUUUCGUCUUCAAUCGUCACGUUAUCAUAGGGUGAGCCUUUCUUUCUCUCUCUGAAUGGUUUGAGUAUAUUGUAGGUCUGUAUAGUUGUAUUUUAGUCUUGUUUUGAUGUUUAUGAUAAGGGUUUUUUGGGGGUUUUGAUGAUAUUGCGUUGGGUAUUUUGAAAUUUGAAGAUUACACGUUUCUUGCACUUGAAUAUGAUCGGUUUAAGCUUCAUAAGAAACGAUCGCGAGACAUUACGCUAAUGCGAUUGGAACUGUUUUUGAUAAUAUCAAAGGAGUUAUAGAUUGAAAGUGGGUGUUCUCUGGGAAUCGAAGUAAUUACUUUGUACAAAAAUUAGGUGGUGUGUGGACUUUGGAUGUGCAUUUUCAAAAUUGGGUAUUCAGUUAAUCAUGUUUAAAUAAUUAGUCGAUCUGAAUCUGAAUCGAUUAACAUGUUAAUCACUCCAAACUGAAGUUUUUAUAAUCCAAUCCAAAUAACCCCCUUAAAUGAACUAAUUUUUUUGUUAUACUUUGAUUAGUGUUUGAUUAGGUUUUUUUAUGUAUCUGCAAUUGGGUAUUUUUCAGAAUGAGAAGUUUCUUGAAUAAAACUUUACUUUAAAUGAAGUUUUUUGAGGGAUCAAAGUUUAUUUUCGUUCAAGAAAUUUGUAUAAAAGAGUGAUGAGUGAUGUUUAAUCUUCUUUAUGAUCAAUGAAUCUUAUGGCAUUCUUGUCAUCUUUUUUUUUCGUUUAUGCUAAAUGCAAGAUAUAGCAAUGUACCUUCCAAAUUCUUAUAUCAUAGCAAUGUGCAUUACUAUAUCUUGUAUUUAGCCAUUUUCUUUUCAAAUUUUUUUGAAAUAAAUCUUAGAAAAGUGUUUAUUAUUGAUUUAGGUUUGGUGUUAUGCUUUAAGCUCUUUAUAUGGCCUACCCUGGUGUCCUAAAAUCAAUUUAUGCGGUUGUUGUUUGGAUUGCUUCAUAUGCUCUUGUUGCAAUUAUUGGAUUAUUUCAAGUCUCGACUUUUAUUGGUUCAUCUAUUUUCAAUCGAUAAAGUACUUUGAAGGGGUAGAAGGGGCAAAAGGGCAAUAAAAAGAUCAAGGAAUAAUGAAAAAGGUGAUUUUUUUUUUCUUUAUGAAACAUUUUCCUUUUGAUCUUUUUGUGAUUUUGAGUGAAUUUGAUUGUGUAUCAGGUGGAUGUAUAUGGCAUGGUUUUACACAAAUGGACAUUGAAGAGAAAAGAUUUAGACCAAAAGGAUUUGUUGAGAGUGUUUUUUGUUCUUUUGGUAUGAGUUUUGGUGUGUGAGAGAUGUGUCGUAUGUGGGAUUCACUUUUUUUCAAGGAUCUUUUGAGGAAUUUAUUCAUUGAGUUUUGAUUUGGUUCAAGUGGUUUUAAAAACCUAGUCAUUGUUGGCUUGAACAAAGUGUUUUGUCUAGACAUAAUAUAUAUAAUAAAAGAUGAUAUUCUUGACAGUUUCUAUUUGUGCGUUGUAGUUUUUAGAAGGCAUUGACUAUGAUUUGAAAACCUAGGGUCUAUAAGAUGCAAUUGAUUAAGAUGAUUAUGUUGACUUAAAUUUAGUAGUUCUUUUUGUUCAUAAAAAGUCAAACAUAUCAUUUCUUAUAUGUCAUCGACUACUUCUCACAUUAUUAUAAACUUGUGGCAUAAAAGAUUUGAUCAUGGUUGGUUCCUUAAACCGAUAAAUUUAUGGUGUUAGAGGUAGCUAUUCAUGUUGCAAUCAUGUUUUCCGUGAAAGAACUAAACACAAUCGAAUAGAUUGUCAUUUCAUUCAUGAAAAUCUUAAAGAUGGAACAAUCUCAACUCCUCAUAUCAGAACCGGAAGUCAACUAGUUGAUGUUUUUUUUACCAAAGUAUUACCUAGUUCUCGGAUUUUUAAUAUAUGUACAAGUUGGGCACUAUUAACAUUUUUAUUUUUUAGUGUUAAAAUGUAUAUAUUAUAUUUAGGUUAAUGACUUAUAAGGGUCAUAAACUUUAUCUUGAGUAUACAUUUAGUUACUUAUGGUUUUUUUGCAUACAUAUGAGCAUUAAAUUUAUUUAUCAUGUUCACAAAUAUCAUUAUCACUAGCUAGUGUAAGUUUAGCCGGUCAGCUUCGGCGAGACUACUCUAGUCAUCUUUUCCCGCCAAACAUGAUUUUCCUGAGGAUUUGAGUUCUAACACAUAUUUUCCAAAUUUCUUUUUACUCUCUCCUAUGAAACAAACCCAAAAAUUAGGGGUUAGAUUCAAAGAUGAAACACACAUGAACACAAAAGUUUUUGUUUUAAAGAAUCCAUAAAUUUGGGUUUCUAAUUCUUGAUUCUAUAACUCAUAACACAUACACAUACACACGAGGUUAAGUUCAUUGCAAACACAUCUCUUUGUGUCUUGUUCUCACUUCUAUGAACACACACAUGAAUACACAAACAGGUUUUUUGUUCUUGUUCAUCGGGUUUGUUUUGUGUGUGUGUGCUCGAAUUUCUAUUUAGGGUUUUUCGGCUUGUGUGAAUUUCGAUUUUGGUGGGUUUGUGCUCGUUAAAUCUGGAUUCCAUCAUAAUUUUGUGUGCUGGAAACAAUUUAGGGUUUUUGAAAGGAGUGGCAGAACCUCUCUUGGUCCUUGAUGAGGAGCCUUCAAGAGACAUUCCCUUGGUACCCUUCGAAGGGUGCUUCCUCUUUUUCCCUUUGCCUUGCCCGAUAUCCAAAACAGGGGUAGAUGUUGGAGUAGGAGUAGUAGAGGUAACAACCGACUUGCCCUUAAGACCGGUUUCAGCGGUCUUCAAGAGUCCUUGAAGCUUGCUAAGGGUAACUUCCUCCUUAUUCAUAUGAUAUGUCAUACGAAAAUGGUCAUAACAAGAAAGUAAGGAGUGCAAAAUGAUGUCAAUUGCCAACUCCUCAGGGAAGUUUACAUUCAGCUUCAGCAAACGGUCCACAUACCUUUGCAUCUUUUGCAUGUGGGCCGUGAAGGAUUCACCGUCCUUCAUGCGGGUUGUUAUUAUGGAGGAGAUUAUUUCAUACCGCUCUUGACGAGCACUCUGAUGGUACCUUUCCAUCAGGUCUUGGUGCAUCUCAAAAGGGUAGAAGUCCUCAUAGGACUUUUGGAGCUCGGCUGUCAUCGUGGCCAUCAUGAUGCAUUCCACCUUAGUAGCAUCUCUCUCAUGUGUCCUGAAUUCAGUGAUCUCCUCAGGAGUAGCAGUAGACUCAUCAAGCUCUUUUAACUCCUUAUCGAGGACAUAUUCCUUGUCCUCAUAACGAGUUACCAUCCAGAUGUUCCUUAUCCAGUCCAUGAAGUUUGAACCAUCAAAGAUGACUCUCCCACAAAGAUUCAUGAGAGAGAAAGAACCAGUUGGGUUAGAGCCUGAAGCAUUAGUGUUGGAAGACAUCUGAAAGAAGAAAUUUAAUCUUUUAGUCCAUAAAUACUUGUAUUCAUACUAAAUAUGUAGAGAUGGAGUAAAGUUUAAAUUAUUAAACCUUAUUUAUUUAGCUAAGGCCCUGUUUGUUCAUGGGCUUUAUUACAUUUAGUGUUUUAGUCCAUAAAUACUUGUAUGGCUCUCAGUUUACAGCAUAUGUAUUACAUUCAGUUCAAAGAGAACAAGUCUUUUUUUUCCCAAUCUAUGCAUUUGCACCUUUAAUUAAUAGACACCUCAACACACUUAGUUUUCUUUAACUUUAUAAAAAUAUUAUAUAAGAUUGCUACAUUUAAAGCUGCUAAAGUUGGAAGCUGAAAAAAAAUUCAUCAGAAAAAUACCUUAAAAAAAUACUUGGUACUAUUACUUUCUGUCAUAACUAUGAUUUUUAUAUAAGUUGCAACCAGUAAUUAACUUCAAAAACCAGAAGGCAAGUAGAUUUAUAAGGACAUAGCAGUAAAAAAUUAAUAUACUUUAAGAACUCAUUUAAAACCAAAAAUACGAUAAUCAUUAUCAUAUAAAAGUCAACCAAAAGUACUACUCUCUCCUUUCCAAAAAUUAUAAUUUUAAAACCAAACAUCUCAUUAUCAUCUUCACUCAUCAUCUUCCUCAUCAUCAUCAUCAUCAUUUGCUCCAGCAGCAGCAUUCAAAGCAUUCAAUCUCUCAAUAAGCUUUUGCUUCCUCUCAUCAUAUGUCAACUUCUUCAAGUUAUACCUAAAAAAAACAAUAAACAUAAAAACAUAUAUAAAUCCUUCUUGUUUUUAAAUAAUUUCAAACCAUAAGCAUCAGUUUAUACAUACCUCUUGUGUUCCUUAGGAGGUUGCUUCUGAGUUUUCUUUGGUGUGGGGUCCGCACGAAUAGCUGCAUGCACUUUCUUGUAUAUCUCUUCAAUGUUAUCCGGAUCAAUUCCAGCUUUAAUGUAAUCAGAAAAGUGAGUCUGAUACUUCUCUGGCUCAUCCUCCAUUAAAGUCUACAAAAAAACACCAAAUUACUUAAGAUACUAUUAUAAUAAAUAAACAAAUAAUAUGAAAUUACAAUACUGACCCUCAUGUAGGAAGCAACAUGUCCACCAUAAAUAUACUUGCGAUGAACAUCAGCAUCAAGUUGCUUACCAUCUUUGCUAAAUCCAGCAAACCUCUUCUCACUGUGAGGGAUAUCAAGUCCACCAUCCAAAGCUCCCUGAUUGAUUAUUCAUCACCAAAAUAAAAUAAAGUCAAACCAUGACAAAAUUACGGUCAAACCCCUUUAUUGUAAUGGUGUAAAUAUAAUACCUUAAGGGCACCAAAAACACGGUUUCCAGUGGUGGUUCUGAGAAGCCCAACAUCCAAAAGAGCCCUGAAAGGCCUCCUGCUUUCUGCUGGCUCAACAGAGUAAUCCUCACCAGUUGCCUGAAAAACAUAAUGGGGGCAUAUUGGUCUUUUUUGUAUUUAUUCCAUUAUAUUAAUGAAAAAAAACUGGGGAUUUGAUUUUGAAAUGUACCUCAACAUUUCCCUCAUACUCCUCAUCCAUUUCAAGCUUUUUCAAGACACGGCGAGCCAAUAAAAGUCCAGUGCAGUAGGCUAUGUUUGAGAAGAGUUUUAAGUUUCAAAUAUUUUUAUAAAUGUGAAAUAAGAUUAUGUGAAAUAAAAUAAGACACAGAAAUACAAAAUACCUGCAGCAUAAUUUGUGAGCCCUACUUUGAGACCAUAGUGAGGUAGCUCAUGAGCAUAUGCUGAUGCAAGGAUCAUAUCACCAGCAAUGCUUGCAGAUAUAACUUGUGCAAUUAUAUCUUUGUUGGUCUAAUAGCAAUCAUUAAGGGUAACUUUUUAAUGUAUACAAUGGAGAAAAUGUUAAAAGCAUAUAAAAGCCAAUAGAGAAAUGAUGGAAAGAAAAAAGGGUGAAUGGAAAGGAUACGAAUCGCACAACAUAACGAUAUUUUGGUGUGUUGUACUUGUUUUUGUCUUGAUUAAUAAGACGGAUUCUUGCUCGAUAAUCAGUCUUACCCUCUGCAUUAAUAAACAAGAAGAAGCAUGAGGAUUACUGAUGUAAUUAGGAAAAAGAACAAUGGGAUACCAAAUACAAUAUAUAAAAGAUAACAAAGAUAUACAUACGUCUCCUUCUCUUAAACUUGACUUGAAACCGUUUGAAGUAGGAUCGUGACUUUUGUGAUUUGACAAAAACCUUCAGAAAUAAAACAAUCAUCAGCAAACAGCAUAACAUAUGCGGGCAAUGUUCAUAAAGAUAAGUAUAAACCAGAAAAGAGUAACAAAUUGAACUUCAAAACUGAUGAUCCUAAGAAAUUUCUACUAAUCAAGAACUUCAAAUCGAUAUAGAUUAACAGAAAUCCCAAGUGCAGAAUUCAACACAGAUUUGUGAAACAUGGUAGACAUAGUGGGCAUGUAGUAAUCCAUAUUGAAAUCACUUCCUCAAAUUACAAAGAAAUGUGGCAAGAAAGCUGGAGAUACACAAAAAGAAGAAUGUAGAUCCAAACGAUCAGAGUACGCCAGAAAGUACUAUCGCGUGAAUUAUGAUAAAAAAAAUCCACUUCGCAUCAAUUUGCAACUCUCGAAUGAACAUAAAUAGGAUCGAAGACUAGUUAAUCAGCAAAAUAACUCAAUGUGGUACGGUGCAACUGUGUAUAGUCAGUUGAGCUACGACGGCGCGAAUUGAAAUAUAGAAAACUCCACAUUUCAUUGAAGAUUGAUUAUACACACAAUUGACUUGAUCAUUUACAUUGGAAUGUAAUCGAAAAUUCAACAAAAAAACAUAUAGCAAUUUGCGCUGUUUUAACAUGCGAAUCCCCUAAACAGAACAAUCUCGUUUCUUUUUCACUGUGUAUAUAAUGGAUAAAUCGAAUUGACAAAAUUUACAGAAAUAGGUUGAAGAUCGUUACCAUGAUUGCCUCCGGGGAGAAUGUGUUGGGGAGGAAAGAGAGAUUACAGCGGCAACGAGUGAAGAUUGAAUAUGAAGGCGUUCAAAUACCAAAAACCCUAAGAGAAAGUGUAGAUCGACGGCUAGGAUUGUAUAUUGUUUCACCUAUCGUCUUAGGGUUUUCUAUACCAAAUAAAGUUUCAUAUAGACCCCGUAAAGUGUUAUUAUGUGUCAAAUACAGCCCCUGACAAAAAAUGUAAUGUAUAAACUACAAUAUAACUCAUAAGUGUUUUUUCAAAUAUAAUAUAACUCAUAAGUGUUUUUUCAAAUAUAAUGUUUUUAGUAUAAUAUAUUAGGCGAACCCUAUGCAUCUUGAAAUUUAAUUAUAUAGAUAUUAUACUAGAAUUAUAUGUCAUUUAAAAUAAAUUAUGGUCAUUUGGUUAUUAGGUUGUUGUAUUAAACAUUAUAGUAUGAUAUAUUUUGAAUGACUCUUACAAAAAUAAUGUUCGUGAUUUGGAUAUAGCAUAAUAUUUUAUGAUGUUUGCUGAAUGAUAUUAUUUUGGAUUUAAAAACAUUAUAUUUGAAAAAACACUUAUAGUAUGAUAUAUUUUGAAUGACUCUUACAAAAAUAAUGUUCGUGAUUUGGAUAUAGCAUAAUAUUUUAUGAUGUUUGCUGAAUGAUAUUAUUUUGGAUUGAACGGUUGGUAAUUUGAAUCAAGCUUAUUAUAGUUCAAGUUUUUUGCUCGGUUUUUUCUUUUUCAUUAGUUCUAGAAUAUGAUUUUUUUUAUAUUUAGUUAAAAUAUGUCACUAUCUUUAUCUAUAUUAAGAAUAUGAUUUUUUAUACUUAGUUAAGAUACGUCACCAUCGUAUCAUACAUACUUAUAAAGCCAACAUUUUUUCUUGAAUCUCAUGUAUUUGAAACCCCUUUUUUUAACUUCAUUUCACCACAUUCAUUUGAAACUCUCAUGACUUUUCAAUUUCUUUACAAUAAUAUUAUAAAUAAGUUAAAUAAUGUUUUAUAAACAAAAAAUGGUGUUUUAUUACAAUGUCUUCAUCCCACAUCGAUAGUGAGAGUAAACAAGAGAAUGGUUCCUCUUAUAUAAAUAGGAAAGGUUGUGAAAUGUUUCAAAGGGACCAAACCAUGAGAACUUCCUCAUGCCUACCUUUGUAGGAUUUUGAAGGUAUUAUUUGGUGAGACUGUCUAUAUUGGCAAGUGUCCAGUUAACUUUUAGAAUUCCAAAAAUGGUUUUAAACCGAAUUUUUUCCAGUUUAAAUCGUGUUUCUGUUAGAAAAAAAAAA
rnacentral:lncRNA from 1 species